CUUAUAGGAGUGUAUACAUUUAUUGUGUUUUAAUACAGGAGUGUGUUUGGAUGUAAUUCUUGCGUUUGAUUGCAGGGGUAUGUCUGAAUGCGGUUGUGUAUCCUGGUUUUAUGCUACCUAGGCAUGACAAAACUCAGGCACUCCCCCUCCCCCUUCUAAAUACACAUGCACACUCACUGACAGACACAUAUACACUCAGUAUCAGACACACACAUUCACUGACAGACACACAUACACUUGCUAACAGACAUACACACUCACUAACAGACACAUACAGUCACUAACAAACACACACUCACUAACAGACACGCAUACACACUCAUUAACAGACACACAUACUAACAGUCACUAACAGACACAUAAACACACUAGCACACUCACUAACAGACACACACAUAGUAACACACUCACUAACAGACACACACACUGACACACACACUCUCACUAACAGACACACAAAGUCAGUAACAGGCACACUCUCACUAACAGACAUGCAUACACACUCACUAACAAACAUGCAUAUACACUAACAGACACACACACUAACACACUCUCUAACAGACACACACAUACUAACACAUUCAAUAACAGACACACACGCACACACACAAUCACUAACAUACACACACAUACUAAUACACUCACUAACAGACACACACACAUUUUUUAAAUUUACCUUUGGGAGUGCUGGGGUGGAUUCUCGCUUUCCCUGGGGUCCAGUGGGGCUGCUGGGCGGCCGGCCGGUCACUGCAGUCGGCGAGAGAGCACUGAUCCUCCUGUUCAGCUCCCGCGCGCCGCGUAGUGAUGCCAGGGACAGAGUGACGUCCUAUUCCGGCUCCAGAAUCACUGCGGUGCGCGCCAGGGAGCUGAACAGCAUGAUCAGUGCUCCCGCGCUGCCUGCCCGGAAAGUACCGCUGCUGCCAGCCUCGGGGGGCCCUAAGGUGGCCAGCGGGCCCCCAGGACAAGAGGCUGGCAAGGCAUUUGCCAGGGAGAUUAGGGGGUGGCUUUUAUUGCUGCUCCCCAUUAAGUGCCAACCAAGCCAAAUACCUUGGGGUAAAUACACCCCUGUCUGAAUGUAAUGUUCACUUUUAAAUGUGGAUGUUCAUUUGUGUGAAGUAUUUGUCUUGGAGUGAAGGAGUGUAUUUGUAUGUAAUAUUUGAGACUGCGCGCGGGGGAGGAGAGACAUCACAGCUUCCUUUUCAUUACUACUAUUCGCGCAGCCAGCCGCCCACCCUGCACAAUCACCCAGCAUGCCGCCCGACUCCAUAAUCCUCCAACUUGCUGCACGCCUGAACGAUCCCCCAGCAUGCCACCAGCCUGCACAAUCUCCUGGCCG